AGCCAUGCCGCGUGUGUGAAGAAGGCCUUCGGGUUGUAAAUCACUUUCAGCGAGGAAGAACGCUUCGGGAUUAAUACUCCCGAGGAAAGACAUCACUCGCAGAAGAAGCACCGGCUAACUCCGUGCCAGCAGCCGCGGUAAUACGGAGGGUGCAAGCGUUAAUCGGAAUUACUGGGCGUAAAGCGCGCGUAGGUGGCUAAGUCAGCCAGGUGUGAAAGCCCCGGGCUAACCUGGGAACGGCAUCUGGAACUGCUUGGCUAGAGUGCAGGAGAGGAAGGUAGAAUUCCCGGUGUAGCGGUGAAAUGCGUAGAGAUCGGGAGGAAUACCAGUGGCGAAGGCGGCCUUCUGGACUGACACUGACACUGAGGUGCGAAAGCGUGGGUAGCAAACAGGAUUAGAUACCCUGGUAGUCCACGCCGUAAACGAUGUCAACUAGCCGUUGGGUCCCUUGAGGACUUAGUGGCGCAGCUAACGCAAUAAGUUGACGCCUGGGGAGUACGGCCGCAAGGUUAAAACUCAAAUGAAUUGACGGGGGCCCGCACAAGCGGUGGAGCAUGUGGUUUAAUUCGAUGCAACGCGAAGAACCUUACCUACCCUUGACAUCCAGAGGACUUUCCAGAGAUGGAUUGGUGCCUUCGGGAACUCUGAGACAGGUGCUGCAUGGCUGUCGUCAGCUCGUGUUGUGAAAUGUUGGGUUAAGUCCCGUAACGAGCGCAACCC
rnacentral:rRNA from 1 species